CGCUCUGAGAAAGUUUCGUUUCUGCACCUCAGCGCCGAGCUCGCCAGUUGUCAUGGUCAGUAACUUAAAGCUGUCGCAUUGUGUGGGCGCAAUACUGUUUACGCGCAAAACGCGUUAACGCUAACCGCCGACCGCGUGAUGGCACCCUGCGGCCCCCGUGUCACGCCAGGUCACGCCUGACAGCCGACCCCGGACGCCCGCCUAACCCCGCUGACCCCUGUUAGCCCCCGUAGCACCUGGUGCCACGCCAGGCCAAUGAGUGCUCCCGCCGUACUGUUGUCCCAGCUGCCCGCCAGGCCGCCCAAGGGUCCAUGCCAAGCCUUCCAACGGUUGAUGUAACCCGCGGCCACUUUGGCGGGGACGGCUUGGUCCUACUCCCCUUGUUGGUCGCCCUGUGCCGUCGCCCUGUGCCUUAUACUGUAACCUCGCAUUCUUGAUGCCAGUACAGCUGGCGGCGGCUACCCACUCCUACCCAGGGAUGCCCAGGGAUGGAGUGAUGGACCAAUGGGCAUUCGCGCAUGUUGCGCUUCCGGCGUUUGCGAGACUGCAGCUGCAGGCAUGUUAUCUGAGCUCGGCACAGGCAAACCAGCGUUCGUGGCUUCUGCGGGCUUAAAACAUUUAGGAGGUCAAGGCGAGGCACCGUGUAUCACGGGGAGCCCCGUCGGCUUGACAUGGGAGAGGCACACACUCCACCCCUGUGCGUCCAUCCAGAAGUUCUGACUUCAUGGCCUCGAGGUUGCACGCAGCGAUACGACUCAUACGACGAGGACG
rnacentral:lncRNA from 1 species